rnacentral:rRNA from 1 species
UACGGAGGUGGCUAGCGUUGUUCGGAUUCACUGGGCGUAAAGGGCGUGUAGGUGGUUUUGUAAGUCACUUGUGAAAUCCCCCGGCUCAACUGGGGAACUGCAAGUGAAACUACAAGGCUAGAGUCUUUGGGAAGAGAGUGGAAUUCUCAGUGUAGCGGUGAAAUGCGUAGAUAUUGAGAAGAACGUCGGUGGCGAAAGCGGCUCUCUACCUUAGUACUGACACUGAGGCGCGAAAGCUAGGGGAGCGAACGGG